rnacentral:rRNA from 1 species
CCGAGCUAAUACCGUAUACGAUCCGCAAGGAUGGAAAGCGGGGGAUCGCAAGACCUCGUGCUAUUAGAUGAGCUUAUGUUAGAUUAGCUUGUUGGUGGGGUAAAAGGGCCUACCAAGGUGACGAUCUAUAGCUGGUCUGAGAGGAUGAUCAGCCACACUGGGACUGAGACACGGCCCAG